CCUUCACAUUUCUUUUUCAUAUUUCAGGCACUUAUACCCAUUUAAAAGCAUCUGAGCAGAAUUAGAGAAAACCGUGGAAGAGGAGGAUGAGAUGUGCGAAAGAGAGGGUGGUAGAGGAGCAGGAGGCUGUUUACCACUGCUUUGCAAACAGAUGCCCUGAAGUACCAGUCCACAGGAAUAGAAAGCUUAGGGCCAGAGACCAAAAGAGCUGUUUCUGCGAGAGACUUGAUGAGCCUCUGCGGGCAAGGAGCAGGGCUUGGGGGCGGCUCUGUGCGCCCUUGCCUUCCGCUGCAGGCCCCCAGCCGUGGGAGUGCUGAGAACCGGCAGCCCUGGCCCAGCCCUCAGCCUUCCCCAGUGGGGUAUUGUCAACGCGGGCAACAGCAAAGCCCUUGGAAGCAACUCCAAGGUUACUGAGCAUCGACUAAGAGGAUGCUGGACAUCUGAGAGGGCUAAGAGGAAGAAGAAGACUCAGUGUAAGUACAUGCGAU
rnacentral:lncRNA from 1 species